UAGGGAAUCUUCCACAAUGGNGAAGCCUGAUGGAGCAACGCCGCGUGUGUGAUGAAGGGUUUCGGCUCGUAAAACACUGUUGUAAGAGAAGAAUGGCAUUGAGAGUAACUGUUCAAUGUGUGACGGUAUCUUACCAGAAAGGAACGGCUAAAUACGUGCCA
rnacentral:rRNA from 1 species